CCGCGCCCCCGCCCCUCGCGCGCCCCCGCCCCGCACGCCCCGGCCCCCCGCCCUCAGGCCUCAGGACGGGACAGGGAGGAGGAGAGAGGAAGGGGCCGCCAGCGGCGGGCGGGAUUCUGCGAGGCGCGUGAAGCCUCGCUGGCGCCUCGUCCGCGAUCCAGACGCUGGCGGGCGCGGAGUUUCUCACGACCGGCCGAGCCCGCCUCUGUUCAAAAGCCAUUUGCUUUCAUAAUCUGUUCUCAGAUUUGCCUAAGGAUUAAUAGGUUUGUAUGUCUGUAGUUCCUGAAAACUGCUUCAGUUCAGCUCACAAGACUUGAAGCAACUCUGACCCAUCUCUAGGCCAUGAUUAUUUCUCUCUUUCUGAGCUCUUUAUCCAACUGCGUAUGAGUCAGCUUUGUGAUUACACUUGCUAAUUGUUGAGCAGUAUGGAAUGGGUUGCAUCUGGACCCCAAGACUUGCACUCAUAAAGUUGUUUUAGUCUCUCUUAUUCAUCAGGCUCGAGUUUCAGUUCUCAAUGCUCUUCUGCAGCUUUAGUUUAAAACUGAGAAGAUAAGCAAAACACAAGUUGAGCAAUUCUGCCUUCUCUGUGUGCUCUCUCAACCUUAACAACAUCCUCUCUAAGCAGUGAUUCUCUCAGUUCCUUGUUCUCUCUGAGAAAUAGUCUGUU
rnacentral:lncRNA from 1 species